GACGAACUGUGCAAACGUUAUUCGGAAUCACUGGGCUUGAAGAGUGCGUAGGCGGUUUUGUAAGUAGGGUGUGAAAGCCCCCGGCUCAACCGGGGAAUUGCGCCUUAAACUGCAAGGCUGGAGUGAGGUAGGGGUGUGUGGAACUUCCAGUGGAGCGGUGAAAUGUGUUGAUAUUGGAAGGAACGCCGGUGGCGAAAGCGACAUACUGGACCUUGUCUGACGCUGAGGCACGAAAGCCAGGGGAGCAAACGGG
rnacentral:rRNA from 1 species